rnacentral:lncRNA from 1 species
AAAAAAAUAUAAUCAAAAUAGCACAAGGUUAGUGAAACAAAUGCGAAUAAUAAAGUCAUGAAAAAGGUAAAGUACUAGAUACUAUAAAUUUCUAUCACAAAACUCGGCUCGAUUUCUAGCAAUUUAAACUUGGCGCUCUGUGAUCCUAUAGUUUUGACCCAAAAUUUGGGUCAAAACGAGUUUCGAUCAAAACUUCGACUCUCGAGAUUACAUGAAAUAAAGAAAAUAAUAAGAAUUAGAAACCGAACUUGAUGAAAUAAAUGAAUAAUGAAAAUGGUAUACAACCAAUGACCAAAUAGAUCACGCAAUACAAAAAUAAAUAAACUUUAAUUAUCACCCAAAUGAAACUAACUUAUGCAUAUUUUAGCAAACAGCGUCUUGAUGAAGCUACGAGUCAACAAUCCCACCUUAUCUCAAAAUAUUUAACAAAAUUCGAAUCUUAAAUCUUUUCAAUGUAUAGGAAUGUGAUAAUGUAAGCUAAUCAAACCAAAUCUCCAUCUAUGUUCACAGGAGAAAAACUUAGAACAGCUCAUUAAUGGGGACUUUCUUCGUGUCUCCUAUACUUUGAACAUUCACAGAAAUGUCAAACAAGACAAGACGGACAUCAAAUAAAUUAAUAUAGGAUAAUAUACACAUAUUCUUGAAACUAUUUAAUAACAUACUAGCCAAAAUCGAUCGAACAAAAGAGAAACAAAAGGGCUGAUUUUUUAUGUUUGAAGACAGACCGGGUCAAAAUUACUUUUAAGGCUCAAUUUUUAGAAAAAGCAGCAGUAUAUACACACAUAUACAUAUGUUUUAACAAGUCCAUAUGCUCAAACAAGAAACAACUUUUCCAAAAAAAAAUAGGUUUCAUUCACAGAAUUAAAGGGAAACAACAAUGACAUGAGUUUGAAAUUGAAAUAAAAUCACAUAUUCAUGGAACCGAACUAGGAAUGAAACUAAAGGAGACAGAUUCGUACUUAGGAUGCAAAAUAGCCUCUCUCGAAACAAAAUAGUUUUAAAGAUUAAAAGAGAAAAAAUUAUGUUUUGAAAUUAAUUUCCAGAGAAUAAACAACAACACCAUAAUAAGACCUGAAACAAAUUAAAAUCACACAUCCACUAGAUUCAAAAAUGACCUACGGAGAAGAUAUGAAGGCCACAUGAAAGAUGGGUGUUUACCUUAUAUUGUGCAGCAAAGCUGAGGCUUCCCGUAGAGAAUCCUAUGGCCACAAAACUCAAAACUCGGGAACUCAGAAUUUACGAAACCAAGGACCAAGUGAAGUAAUUCUUGCAGCCCUUUGCUUGUGAAAUUGUCAGGCGUUAAUCAACUUUUCCCCAUUUUGCCCUCUAUUUUUCACUUUGUUUUUCUCUCUCCUUCUGGAGAAUCAAAGACAACCAUUUAUAGGCACAAAUCUAGACUUGAAAGUUCAGAUUUAGAAUAAAAAUUUAUUCAAAAUGUGUGGAUCUGAGAGGAGAUUUGAAAAUUCAAGUUCAAAUUUCUAAAAUAAAUCCUCUUUUUCUCCAUAUCUUGAUAAUUUGCAGAGAACUGAUGGCAGAUUAAUCUGUUUUCCAUUAUAUCAUUGAUUUGGGAUAGAUUUUCUGAUUUUUGAAGGGAUUCAUGGAUUGGGAGAUGUUAAAAUGGGAGGAAUCUCGUGACAGCCUGUUU